GUUAGGCUGAUGCAGGGUUUGGCCUCUGUUGCUGACCAAAUGUUACCACAGAUGUAAAGGCCAGAUGAGGUCUUUCUCAGUUUUCUUGUUUAUUGAUAAGUUGUAAAUUUAUGGAAUUAUAGAAAAACUGCAGCAGUACUUGAAUGUCUCUUUGUUUUCUUGUUUAUUGGUGAGUUGUAAAUUAAUGGAAUUAUAGAGAAACUGUAUUUUGUUCGAUUCGCGCCCACCACAUCUAUUACAUUUGCCUCUUACCU
rnacentral:misc_RNA from 1 species